rnacentral:rRNA from 1 species
GAUGAACGCUGGCGGCGUGCCUAAUACAUGCAAGUCGAGCGAACGGACGAGAAGCUUGCUCCUCUGAUGUUAGCGGCGGACGGGUGAGUAACACGCGGAUAACCUACCUAUAAGACUGGGAUAACUUCGGGAAACCGGAGCUAAUACCGGAUAAUAUUUUGAACCGCAUGGUUCAAAAGUGAAAGACGGUCUUGCUGUCACUUAUAGAUGGAUCCGCGCUGCAUUAGCUAGUUGGUAAGGUAACGGCUUACCAAGGCAACGAUGCAUAGCCGACCUGAGAGGGUGAUCGGCCACACUGGAACUGAGACACGAUCCAGACUCCUACGGGAGGCAGCAGUAGGGAAUCUUCCGCAAUGGGCGAAAGCCUGACGGAGCAACGCCGCGUGAGUGAUGAAGGUCUUCGGAUCGUAAAACUCUGUUAUUAGGGAAGAACAUAUGUGUAAGUAACUGUGCACAUCUUGACGGUACCUAAUCAGAAAGCCACGGCUAACUACGUG